CCUACGGGGGGCAGCAGUGGGGAAUAUUGGACAAUGGGGGCAACCCUGAUCCAGCCAUGCCGCGUGUGUGAAGAAGGCCCUCGGGUUGUAAAGCACUUUCAGUGAGGAAGAACGCCUGGUGGUUAAUACCCAUCAGGAAAGACAUCACUCACAGAAGAAGCACCGGCUAACUCAGUGCCAGCAGCCGCGGUAAUACGGAGGGUGCGAGCGUUAAUCGGAAUUACUGGGCGUAAAGCGCGCGUAGGUGGCUUGAUAAGCCGGUUGUGAAAGCCCCGGGCUCAACCUGAGAACUGCAUCCGGAACUGUCAAGCUAGAGUGCAGGAGAGGAAGGUAGAAUUCCCGGUGUAGCGGUGAAAUGCGUAGAGAUCGGGAGGAAUACCAGUGGCGAAGGCGGCCUUCUGGACUGACACUGACACUGAGGUGCGAAAGCGUGGGUAGCAAACAGGAUUAGAUACCCUUGUAGUC
rnacentral:rRNA from 1 species